UAGUGAUGCUGGUGUAAAGAAACCUGAGCUGCCUGUUGUAUAAGAGGAUAGCACACACCAUUAUGAACAGAGUGAAGAACUAAAAUCACAGGACACUACAUACAGACGAAGUAUCAUGCUUUUGUCAAGGAGAAGGAAAAUGCAGUCCUGAUGGCAACAGUGCUCAAAGGGAAGGAAGAUAAUUAAAAUGGAAGACAGAGCCAUCAAAAACCAUGUGGAGCAACGUCACUACAUGAGCCUAGACUGAAAGAAUGUACGCAGGCAGAUAUAAAUGCCUAUUUCAUUUAAUGUA